UUUGACAUCCAUCAGGUUUUGCUCAUAGCGAGUUAUACGGACCCUCACGAACAUGACGAGCUGAGAGAGGAUGACGGACAUGCCCCCAGGUGGCGGCCACAUGACGGACUCGAACAUGACGGGUAUGAUGGGCUUCUUCAAGAUGUCGGCCAAGGCCAGUUCACGGUUGCAGUGAUGGGACACCACAUACUUGGGCGUGAUGCAGGAAAUGAACAACUGUGGGGAGACAUGUGACAUUACAUAGGGAACACCAUCAUGAGGUCGACCGAGAGGGAGGUAUUCCCACUGGUCAGGACCCAGUCGGUCAGCAGAGCCAGGGCUGGGUUCAAGUCCUCAUUGAUCUGGUCAAUCCGAGCCUGUUUGUAACCUGCAGGAUAUAUAAACAAGCUAAACUUCA